rnacentral:rRNA from 1 species
UACGGGAGGCAGCAGUGGGGAAUAUUGCACAAUGGGCGGAAGCCUGAUGCAGCGACGCCGCGUGAGGGAUGACGGCCUUCGGGUUGUAAACCUCUUUCAGUAGGGACGAAGCGCAAGUGACGGUACCUACAGAAGAAGCACCGGCCAACUACGUGCCAGCAGCCGCGGUAAU